CCCGGGCUGCCUGACGCGCUCUGCUCGCCCUGUUGCGCGGGUCCCAGCCGGUGGAGUCCUGAUGGCACCCGCCCCCGUAGCCGCCAACCUGGGCCACUAGCCUGGAGCGUGAACACGAAGGUGGAACUGGGCCACCAGAAAGGGCAAGAGCUGCAGAUGGCUGGAUGUUCCUGGGACAGUCGGAAGAAGAGAUCCAGUGUUUGCGCCUUUGAUUGUCGGAGUGCUGAUGGGUGAAUCUGAGCUUCAGCACCCUGUAAAUUGGGUGUGGUGGCACACGAGCGUAGACAGGCGGGUCGGAAGUUCAAGGUCAUCCUUGGUUAUGUCUAAGGUUUGAGUUCAAGGCCAGCUUGGCCUACAUAAGACCCUGUCUCAAAUGUACACACACACACACACACACACACACACACACACACACACACACACAAUCUAAAAGGGUACCGAGGAAUGACAUCACUGUGAAAAAGGCUAGGGCCGGGCAAGGGCCCUUAUUUACCAGUUUACUAUAAAUCAAGGAAAUUGCUGCCACUUACCUAUCCACUCCCUCAGGGGACAGUUGUUGCUUACAGCUCAGCAUCCAAACCGGGGCGGCCCCUGCUCUGCUGGGGCAGAGUGAACUGGCUCCCUCAAACUCGGGGCGCUUGAUUCUGGCCUGAUUCCCCGUGGUAAAUACCAGCCUGUGCGCUUGGCUCCAGGAUCUACUUCACUAUUCAAACCUUUCCUGUGCACCUUGCUAGGAAGAACUUGAAGUGUCUCCAUUCUCCUUGGGAAAGCUCUUCACGUUUACAGAUACACAAAAUAGGCUGACCCUUUGGCGAAGAUAGUGAGCCACCAAGCUGAAGAAUUAUAAACAGGAUCUCUUGAAUCAAGGCCGCCUGGGCUCUAUUUUGUUUCAUACUUAUGUCUAGAGUUAUGUAAAACUGGUAACGGCUUUAAGCCAAUGUAA